rnacentral:rRNA from 1 species
GACGAACGCUGGCGGCGUGCUUAACACAUGCAAGUCGAGCGAUGAAAUCCCUUCGGGGAUGGAUUAGCGGCGGACGGGUGAGUAACACGUGGGCAACCUGCCUUAUAGAGAGGAAUAGCCAUCCGAAAGGAUGAUUAAUACCUCAUAAUAUUGUAGUUUCGCAUGAAACAACAAUCAAAGGAGCAAUCCACUAUAAGAUGGGCCCGCGGCGCAUUAGCUAGUUGGUGAGGUAACGGCUCACCAAGGCGACGAUGCGUAGCCGACCUGAGAGGGUGAUCGGCCACAUUGGGACUGAGACACGGCCCAGACUCCUACGGGUGGCAG